AGGGUGUAAACGCUGCAGACUUGGUGUUGGAAGCCCUUUGGGGGCAUUCAGUGCCGGAGAGAAGUUGUUAAGUCUGCUACUUGGGGAGUACGUCCGCAAGGAUGAAACUUAAAGGAAUUGGCGGGGGAGCACCGCAACGGGAGGAGCGUGCGGUUUAAUUGGAUUCAACACCGUAAAACUCACCAGGGGAGACUGUUACAUGAAACCCAGACUAAUGAUCUUGGUUGAUUUUUCAGAGAGGAGGUGCAUGGCGUCAGUGACU
rnacentral:rRNA from 1 species